UGAGACACUGAAGAUUUUGCGCAAGCUCUACACUAGAUUACCUCUACCUGAAAAAUGCGCAGAUGACAAACCUUAUGCACCAUCCUCCCAGGUAUACCAAGAGAAAGCAAAGAGUUUAGGCAUUCACUUCACUCCUCUAGAGGUGAGCCUGAAGGAUACAGUUGAAAGCUUGAAGGGGAAGAACUUUGUCAGUUUCUGACUCAUGGUAUUUAAUGCUAGACUUGCAACUAAAUCAUAAACUAAUGGUGCUUUCCUGCUAAUUUUAUUGUUAUGAACCUCACUGCACCUAUGAUUUGCUAGGUUUUGGGGCUUUUAUCUUAUAAUAUUUGAUUGUAAGCAUUUCUUAUGCUAGAAAUUGGUAUCUGUAUCAACUAUAAGUUUCCCUGUUCAAGUUU